GUCUAUUUGUAGAUAUAAAAAGUCUAGCCUGCCCACUGAAAAAUUUAAGGGCCGCAGUAUUAUAACUGUGCGAAGGUAGCAUAAUCAUUAGGUUUUUAAUUGAGAUCUUGUAUGAAUGGUUGAACAAAUGAAAUUCUGUCUUUAUAUUAAAUUUGAAUUUAACUUUUAAGUGAAAAGGCUUAAAUAAUCUAAGAAGACGAUAAGACCCUAUAAAACUUUACAUUAAAAUUAAAUGAAAUUAAUUUUUAAAAAUAAAAGUUAGUUUAAUUAUUUGUUAUGUUGGGGAGACAAAUGUUUAAUUUUAAAUAACUGCUUAAAAUAAAAACAAAUAUUUAUGGAUAAAUGAAUGAUCCUUUAAUAUAAAGAUUAAAGAUUAAGUUACUUUAGGGAUAACAGCGUUAUUUUUUUUGAGAGUUCUUAUCGAAAAAAAAGUUUACGACCUCGAUGUUGAAUUAAAGUUACUUUAUAAUGCAGAAGUUAUAAAAGUAGGUCUGUUCGACCUUUAAAUUUUUACAUGAUUUGAGUUCAAACCGGUGUGAG
rnacentral:rRNA from 1 species